UUGUGCAAAUUUCAGGUUCCCCAAACCUGGAAGUAUGAAAGAUGGGUUGAGCUGUGGAGGAUAAAAAGAGAAAUUCCAAUUUAAGUAGGAUUCAAGUGGAGAGAAUAGGAGAAUUUGGAAUAGGCAGUAUUUAAAGAGAUAUGUUAGAGAAUUUGCUUGAAUUGCAAGAAAACUAGUUUUAGAUUUAAAAGUACAUUAAGUUCUGAACAGCACAAAAAAACAAAAUCUUUACCUAAGUACAUUACAGCGAAACUACAGAAUAUCUUAAAAACUUGUAGAGAAAACAGAAAGAAAGAUGUCAAUAAGAAUAAAAAUAGACUUCCCAUCAGUGAUAACUGAUAAAGGAGGACAAUGAAAUUGUGUCCUCAAAGUGCUGAGGGAAAAUGUUAACAUAGAAUUCUAUACCCCAAACUGUCAUUCAGUAUUAAGAAACAAAAACAUUUCCAGAUAUUAAAAAUUAAGAAGUCUACUUUCACUGAAGUACUUAAAUAAUAUUCCUCAGCAAGAAAACCAGACAAAACAAUCCAGAAGAAUCCAGAGGUGAAAGCCACGAAGAAGUGUAAACAAAGAAAAGUUUUUAAACUGAAGUAUCUAUUUAAGAAAACAAAUCAAAACAACAGCGGAAAAACAGCAGCAACCUAUUUUGGUGAUUUUAAAAGCAAGGUGGAAAUAAAACACUAUACAAAAGUAACUGAAAAAGUGGAAAGGAUGAAGAUUGAACAGUCCAAGUUCUUCCAGACUAUUCUUUUUUUCUAAAUCAACUUUAGACCUUGAGUUGAAUAUUUUAAGGUUAAAGAGUUAACCUUACAUUUUAAAAAUUAAGAAGAUAAAUUAAAAUGUAUAACUGCAUAACCAGGAGGAAAUAAGAGAAUUAUUUAUUCAACAUAAUGCAGGACAAAAGGAGAGACACAAAGCCAAAGCCUGAGGGUCUGCCUUCCGAAUGCUGCCCACGAAGCAGGAACUUCGCCAAUUGUCCCUGUAUCCUAACCUGCCCCCUGCAUCCACUCUCAUCUCCUGACCUUAGGAAAUUACCGUACUAUUGACGUGAAACAAGAAGGAAUUGAAAUGAUGUCAGAAAAGAAGAAAUAAGGAAAAGAGAAGAGUGACUUAAAGCAGUUCAGCAGAGGCAGGGGGAGUGAAGAAGCCAUAAAACCCCCAGAUACUGGCAACUGGAGAGCUUUUAAGGACAAAGAUGUCAAGGCUUUAAAUUGAACUUGUAUGUUUUCCAGUGAUGUAACCUCCUCUGACCACCCAAGUCUUAUACAGCUUGUAUUACAC